UUCCAGGGAUGGGGCACCCACAGCCUCCUUGGGCAACCUAUUCCAGUGCAUCAUCACCCACUGUUUGAAAAACUUCCUCCUAAUAUCCAACCUAAACCUCCCCGCCUCAGUUUAAAUUCUUUAAUUACAUCUCGAGUAGCUUAAAAUGCCAGCACAAGUCAAUAAUAACAGAACAAGCAUAAACCCCAACACAUCUACGUGAAGACAGAAGUGCAAAUAAAGAUGACAGCAGCAUCCAAUACUGGCAUCAUAUGGAAGUGGCACUACUUUAAACCACAAACCCAUGCAUUUGUGCUCCUUCCUGCAAGUUCCAUAUCACCAUUCCCCAGAGCAGUGCCCAGAAUGUGCUCUCAAGUGAUCACUUCAUUCCCAGUGCCAUCCUUCGCAACUAACGAAAUCACUGCUGUAAGACUUCUCCUCUACAGGCAGGAAGGGAAACCCUGCGUUGGGCUCCCAGUUCCCUCCCUAUUAAAAUAAAGAGGAAAACGACAUUCCAGGGAAUAAAUAUGGUUAAAAAAAAAAUAAUAAUGAAACAACAAAGGCGACUCCUCCACAUGUGGCUGUUCAUCUCCUUGGAGUCUGUACUGCAGAGGAAGGGAGGAAGGAAGGGAGGAAGGAAGGGAGGAAGGAAGGGAGGAAGGAAGGGAGGAAGGAAGGGAGGAAGGAAGGGAGGAAGGAAGGGAGGAAGGAAGGGAGGAAGGAAGGGAGGAAGGAAGGGAGGAAGGAAGGGAGGAAGGAAGGAACUCUGCCAUGCUGCAUCAGUGGGGUUGGAGAAGGGGAAAAGCCCCAUGGGGUGCCAUGCUGGAGAAGGUCCUUUGCAUCCUGCACUGACGUGGGAAAAGGCUGCGUCUGACAGCAUGGGAGUCGGAAGAAGGAACCGGGCAGCUGGGAAACGGAACCCAAAAUCACUGCGUGCAGCCAGGAUUGGACCCCAACCUCCUGCAAAGGGCUCAGAGCGAGGGGGACCUGCGGGGCCCCGCACCACCGAUCCCAAAGCCUCAUAAAAAAGAAUAAAUACAAGGAAAAAACCUUCAAAACAUCCUAAAAAACGACCCUUCGAAAAGAAGAAGGAAAAAAAAAAAACAGAACAACCCAAUAAACAAA
rnacentral:lncRNA from 1 species